AAUGAGUGAAGGCUGCUCUUCCCCACUGUACGAUUGGUGGGAGGGGCUCCCCCAUAUAUUGGUCCCUUAGGAGGAUUCCGAGGAGCAGUGACAAUCUUUACUAACUAUUUUUCUGAAAAGUUGUAAACCUCUUUAAGCCGUGCAGGUCAGGCAGUGUUGUUGAGACUUUUUGAACAUAGCUAGUAAAUACCUGGUUUACGUCACAUAUUUGUGUUAAAUUACUUUCCCGAGCGCUUCAGCUUUGAUUAAUUUUUUUAAAAUCAGCACUCCGUACAAAAAAGGUUGCCGGCCCCUGAUCUAGCGUAUAUGCUUGUAGUCACUUCCUUUCUACUUUUUAAUAAGGUAGAGACUGUCGAAGAGACCUUGUGCUUCUUCUCGCAGAUGCAGGAGAAAUUCGGGCUGCCCCGCAACUUUUUCUUUAGAUACCUGCAACUGAGACAGGCGUUAAAGGCCCAGUUUGGGAAAAGAGGGCGAGGCAUCUCAAAAUACUCUUUAAUAGGCAUACUAAAAGGUCGCAGGGUCCGAGGGGCAUCAUCUCUGUGCUUUAUACACAUCUGCUCAGUAAUCGCAUGACGAACCCUCUCGCUAUUGAGAGUAAAUGGAAAAUGUCAAUACCGUCUGACGACUGGAACGAGGCUUUAAUGGCUCCGCUGAAGGUCUCUCCAUCAAUCAACAAUAGAUUGAUUCAGCUGUUUAUAUUGCACAGAAGUUACCUUACGCCCACUAGGUUACACUAAAUGGGUAAGCUGUCACACAAUAGAUGCCAUAGAUGCCUGAGGGAUAAUGCUGACUUUUGGCAUCUGAUGUGGGAUUGUACUUACUUGAGAGGCUACUGGAGGGAGGUGGUAGAAGUAUUUUCAACUAUGGUUCCCUCUGCAGUACCGCUGUGUCCUAACAUUUGUGUACUGGGUAUAUUAGAUGAGCAGGGUAUUACCAUAGAGCAGUGCUGGCAAACCCU